GACGAACGCUGGCGGCGUGCCUAAUACAUGCAAGUCGAGCGCAGGAAGCUGACGGAACUCUUCGGAGGGAAGGCAGUGGAAUGAGCGGCGGACGGGUGAGUAACACGUAAGGAACCUGCCUCAAGGAUUGGGAUAACUCCGAGAAAUCGGAGCUAAUCCCGGAUAGUUCAACGGACCGCAUGGUCCGCCGAUGAAAGGCGCCUCGGCGUCAGCUUGAGAUGGCCUUGCGGUGCAUUAGCUAGUUGGUGGGGUAACGGCCCACCAAGGCGACGAUGCAGAGCCGAACUGAGAGGGUGAUCGGCCACACUGGGACUGAGACACGGCCCAGACUCCUACGGGAGGCAGCAGUAGGGAAUCUUCCACAAUGGACGAAAGUCUGAUGGAGCAACGCCGCGUGAGUGAUGAAGGUUUUCGGAUCGUAAAACUCUGUUGUAAGGGAAGAGCACGUACGAGAGGGAAUGCUCGUACCUUGACGGUACCUUACGAGAAAGCCACGGCUAACUACGUGCCAGCCGCCGCAGUAACAC
rnacentral:rRNA from 1 species